AAAAAAUGCAUAAAUAUCAUCUCAAUUAUUACCCGUUUAGAUUUAACUAUUUAACCUUUAAAAUUUUUUAUUUCACUAUCUAAUCUUUUAAUUUAUUUGAUUUGAGCCAAGUAGUGACUCUUUUACUUCAAAAUUGGAAUGUGUUUUAGUUAAUAUUUUAUGUAAUUUACGUAACUCUAAUUCAUUAAAAUAAGUAAUUAUUUCAAAUGGCAUAUCCGAAAAGCCAUCAAAUUAUUUAAAUCAAAUAAACUGAAAGAUUGGAUACUAAAAUCAAAAUUUUAAACAUUUGGAUAAUCGGAUUAAAUAAUGGUCUAUAUUUCAAAUUUCAUAAAAAACUAAUAUUUUAAUUUUCAAAAUUUUUUAUUCGAAAACAAAAACUACUUUUCAUCAUAAACUUUGUUUCUAAAAAAAUACUUUUUUAUAUUUUUUCAAAGAUACCAAAAACCCCCUUAUUCAAAAUAAUAAUAAUAAUAAUAGUAAUAAUAAUAAUAAUAAUAAUAAGAUUACCACUUUAAUUUAUA
rnacentral:lncRNA from 1 species